rnacentral:tRNA from 1 species
CGGCCGCUCGACGACGGCCCCGACCCACCGCUCGGGGCGCUGGAUCGACCGCUGGGACCCGGAGGACCCGACGUUCUGGCGCGACGGCGGCCGC